rnacentral:rRNA from 1 species
GAUCAACGCUGGCGGCGUGCAUAACACAUGCAAGUCGAACGAUGAAGCUUAAAAGAUUUCUUCGGAAUGAACUUAAUUGGCUUAGUGGCGGACGGGUGAGUAACGCGUGAGUAACCUGCCUUGUACAAGGGGAUAGCCGUUGGAAACGACGAAUAAUACCCUAUGACAUCAAAUAAUCGCAUGAUAAUUUGAUCAAAGAUUUAUCGGUAUAAGAUGGACUCGCGUCUGAUUAGCUAGUUGGUAGAGUAAAAGCCUACCAAGGCAACGAUCAGUAGCCGGCUUGAGAGAGUGUACGGCCACAUUGGGACUGAGACACGGCCCAGACUCCUACGGGAGGCAGCAGUGGGGAAUUUUGCACAAUGGGGGAAACCCUGAUGCAGCGACGCCGCGUGAUUUAGAAGGCCUUCGGGUUGUAAAAAUCUUUUGUAUGGGAAGAAAAUGACAGUACCAUACGAAUAAGGACCGGCUAAUUACGUG